AGUGAACGCUGGCGGUAGGCCUAACACAUGCAAGUCGAACGGCAGCACAGUAAGAGCUUGCUCUUACGGGUGGCGAGUGGCGGACGGGUGAGGAAUACAUCGGAAUCUACUUUUUCGUGGGGGAUAACGUAGGGAAACUUACGCUAAUACCGCAUACGACCUACGGGUGAAAGCAGGGGAGCUUCGGACCUUGCGCGAUUGAAUGAGCCGAUGUCGGAUUAGCUAGUUGGCGGGGUAAAGGCCCACCAAGGCGACGAUCCGUAGCUGGUCUGAGAGGAUGAUCAGCCACACUGGAACUGAGACACGGUCCAGACUCCUACGGGAGGCAGCAGUGGGGAAUAUUGGACAAUGGGCGCAAGCCUGAUCCAGCCAUACCGCGUGAGUGAAGAAGGCCUUCGGGUUGUAAAGCCCUUUUGUUGGGAAAGAAAAGCAGCAGGUUAAUACCCCGCUGUUCUGACGGUACCCAAAGAAUAAGCAACGGCUAACUUCGUG
rnacentral:rRNA from 1 species